UAGGUGGUCGAAAAGCACUGAGCUGAUCUCCCUGUGCUAUGCUGCUGCUUCCCACCACAAAGCCACUGAGAUCUUGUGUUGUUUACUACUGCAGCAUAACCUGGCCUCUCCUAGCUGAUACAGGUGGAAUCCAGAAGUGUGGUGCUGCCUCACCAAAAAACCUAAAGUAUAUGGUGAAGGCUUAGGAGCUGGGUAGAAGGAGGCAAGGAAAAAGUUAUCAGAGGCUAAAAGGAGAGCAGCUCAUAUUGCACAGUGGUGACGAGAGUUAAUAUGCCAUAAAAACUUAUAGCUCUAGUGGGAAAAUGGACUAUUAAAAGAGUGUGUUGGUUACUCUUGGCUGUAUUUGACAAAUUAUUAUUUGAAAAGGAUGAAUUCAGAAAAGAAUCAGUCAGUUUCCAAUCAUAAAAAAAGGAGCCCAGAAGGUCAGUGAUUUGUAGGGUUAGAAGAAGCAGGUGCUUAACACACAACUGAGAAGGUCUCUGAGAUACAAAUGCUGAUCAGAAUUCAGUCUUGAGGCAAGGAUCAAGUGAACGUUUUGGCCUUCACAACCACUGAUAAAACCUCCCAACUGAUUAAGGUAGUGCUGAAUAAAAUAGCUUUUCUAGAAAGAGACUAAAGAGAGGUUCUCUCACCAAAGCAGUCUCUUAGUCUGUUUUGCUACAAAGCACGUUUCUUUGAUGUGAAUUAGUUCAAAUGCUAUUAGUAAAUAGGGAAAUGAUGUCAAUAUAACACAGAAGUCAUGUUGGUUUAUACGAAAUUUUCCUGUUGGAAGUGAUCAGGAGAAAGCUUUCCCAAAUUAAAAAGAAAGCUUUAGCAAUAUAUGAAAACACUAAGAAAAAUGCUAAGCAUCCCACUUCUGUACCUUCCUUUAAUGCAAGUUGUGGCUGGUUCAGCCGCUUCAUGAACCACUGCACUUUCCACUUUAUAUCUGGUGAAGUUGAGGGUGUAUGUUUUUCCUCCUGUGUUUAAAAAAGAAAGAAAGUUUUUGAUUGCUGAAGCAUACACCAUACCAUAGAUCAAAUUUUUACUGUCAUGAAAUUAGUCCUAUUAUACGUAAAUGUCUUCAACACCCCAAAAUCUCAGAGGAGGAAACAAGCACCCAGGGGACUGAGUCUGUAAAGCUCCAACCAACUGAUGCUGAGUGCAUAUGCCGCUGGAGAUUCAAUAUGCUACUGUUUUUAUUUUAAUUAAUUUUGCUUUUAUUAGUGCACUGGUUACAGUGUUCCACAGCUUUUGAGUGGUCUGCCCAAUCCUGUUUUUCCCAUAAGCCCUGUUUAUUUUAGUGUGCAAUUUUGCAGAAUUCAGGAAAGCAUAUACGGCAUUAUGGCAGAAAUACCUGUAUUCAAGAUUACGUCAAGGAAGAAGUAUGAGACCAACAAGGCAGAGUUAUGCAGCAAAUCUAUGAAGUAUGGCUAGAAAAGACUGGUGGACGUGGCUAGGGCACAUGGUGCUGACUGGAAACAAAUAAGUAAAAAUCCAACUAAGUUUUUGAGAGUUAUACUGCCAAAACGACCACCAGCCUGGGCUUGAGAGCCUAUGACUAUUCAAACCUUCUUAAAAUGAUCUUUGGGUUCCCAGGCAUCUAUGGCAGGAAGUGGACUAAGAAAGCUGUUCGUCCCCUUAAAGGGGUAUAUUCCUCAUUGUCCAUUUGGGAUACAGCCAAGGAACAUAAUAGGAAAAAAAGGAGGAGGAGGUCCAAUAAGAUGGAGCCAGGGGAGCAAAGAAAGAACAGACAAGUGAGCUAAGGAGCCAAGUCAGGGUCUCUUCAAGAACAUUCCCCAUCCCUGGAGGGGUCCUCUCAAUGACUGCUCAGAGGAAUUGCAGAAUUUGCUGCAGUCCACUGACUGCUAUAUGUCUCCUGUUCUUCCCCCUUUCAAAUGGGAGUGUUUAUUUUUAUCAUCCUGUCGCUAGUCACCACUGUAUAUUGUAUGUGACGGCAGCCAAUCAUUUGCCAAUUUCUUUCACAAAUCUAUGGAUCAAAAAGAGCAACAUCUGGGCCUGAUAUAGAGACUGCUAUGUGCAUCAUCUCCUCACGAAUAGACCACCAGUCAUCACAUCCUUGCGUCACUCAGAGAUCCUGGACUUCAAGCUUGAUGCAAUGAUUUGAUAGGACCUUGGGGUUCCCUACUUGGGGAGGAAGUGAGUGUAUUUUGCCUGUGAGAGAGGGUAGAUCGACUAUCUGGUGACCAAAAGAACAGUGCUGUUUAUUGUAUAUUUUCAGCUGUCUCCCUGGUACCGGCAGUGUUGCGCUUCCUGGCCCUGCCUAGUUACAUGGGACUACAUGACUAGAUCUGGCCAUCAUGUUGCGAAAUAAGCAAAGUGAAUCACUUCUGAGCUAGUGAGAGACCCUCCAGACUUCAUUUCCCUCUUAGCAUGGUGACCAAUAGUGCGCAAGAAGGUGGUUGUUCCGUCAGCCUGGAUCGCUGAGUGACACGAGCAGAGCUCCCCUGCUGAUCUAUCGUGGCCAUGGAGUGAGAAACAAAUCCUUCGUUGUUUAAGCCACUAGAUCGGGAGGUGGUUUGUUGCUGCAGCGUAACCUAGGAAACUAUGUCAGUGAUACAUCUGUCAAAUAACAACUAAUCUCAACGUCUUUGGAUGGUCAGUGACAGGACAAUAAAACUGAACCACAAACUUCUGUCUUCAUGUGGAACUUACUAUGUAGACCUGGCUACAGCUUCCAAGCUCUGAAUCUGGCAGAGAGAAUGCUGUUCUCACAGCCAUAGGAGUUACAUGAUCAGCUGCUUUGUGGUGUGUGGGUGUUUAACUAGAGUCUCUGAAAUGAUACUUAAAUGGGGUGAGUAUAGAAAUGUAGAAAUCAGCCAUCACAACACGUCUAAAGAACUUGGAUGUGAAAACUCAAGUCCCACCUGACGGCACCAGGCUGGAUAAUAUGCUGCAGUGGAGAGUGGCCUGCAGAUGACCAGGGAGUGACCAGGAACUGACCAUCUGCUUGAAGCCCUAACUGGUGGCAAGGCUGAGCCUUGGCCUGCAAACAAGGUAAAUUGGAGGAUUUCAGGUGUUUACCCCCCACAGACGAAGGACGGAAGUUUAGAGUGAGAGCUAGAGGUGAGUAAAAAAAAGGAGGGUCACUCUAGAUUGCAGAGUCAUAUGGGAUGCAGCCUGGGAGCCAAACCCUGAGCAAACCUAGUGCCAAUAGUGACUACCCUUGCAGAUUUCAACCGUUCUUUUAUUUAUGUGUUUCACGUAACAGUGACUACAAAUUACACACACUCAAUCCAAAGACGGACUUUCACUUACAUGCCAUAGAUGGUGAGAGUCAUCAUCGUUAUCCGAUUCAACAUCAAAGACAGCAAUAUAGACAAAAAAAAUCUCAGUAUACCUAAACAGAAUGGGUAUCCUGGUCAUCCUUAGGUCAUGGAGCGGCGGGAAUGAUGCUCCCCAUUAAUGACGAGGGCAGGUGAGAUACAGAGCAGGAUCUGAGCUUCUCUGAAUCUCAGAGUUGGGUAGAAGAAGAAACUGUGUCACAGCUGAAGUGCCAUCACCAUUCAUAUCAGGGAAAUAAGAGGGACCAGUCCUUACUAUUCUGACCCUCGCCAUCCCUCUAGAAACACAGCCUUCCCUCCCUUCCCUGUAUUAGUACAGAGAAAGCCACCUUCUAGAAGGUACUAGAAUUUGCAGGGCUUGAAUACCAAUCUCCCUUGCAGAUUACAUCACAGAACGUAGAGUAAAGUGUUAUAUGGUGGACUUAGGGAACGGAGUAUUCUGGUUAAUCAAAUAAUCUGGUUUUAAAGUAGUACUAAACACAUAGUAACGUUUGGGACCUACUAAAAUUAUUCAUUGUUCAUCCAAAAGUUCAGAUUUAACUGGGUGUCCUGUGUUUUAUCCACUUGCAGGUAAACUUCUAGGAGAUCCAAAGCCACUCCUUUGGAGUUCCUUAGAGAAAAAAGCAACAGGAAAGAGAUAUUCUUUUAUAGCUUCAGGUUCAUUGGUGACAGAAAAAUGGGGACAGAGAAGAUAGGGAAGCAAGAGGCCCUAAACCAGGUGCCCAUCGGCUCAGAAGCACACUUACCAUCACACUGGGUGCAUAGGUAAGAUGUCACCAGGUCUUUAACUGGCCCUGUGUCAAACCAAACAGUUGUUUCAGAGAUCUCAGGGAAGAACUUAAGACAAAACAUCACCUACUCUCUAGUAUUAUCCAACACAGACGGAGCCUCACCUAAGAAUGGGAACAGACAGGGGCAACUUAAAUCCCUCAUUUCAUUUUGCCAACAGAGACGAAGAAGGUUAGGGCAGUGUGGUGCCAUUGAGAGGAGCUGCAUAUUUCCUCUGCGCCAGAGAAUCCCCUGGUGCUUGGAGACCUCCUUCCUGUCGUGUUGAUGGUCCUGUGGAAAUGGGCCCCAUAGGAAGCUUGGUUCUGCUCUGCGUGGCAUUGACUGUGCAUGUCUUUUUCCUGACCAGGUUGCUGUUCUUAGCACCUACUAAGCACCUAGAUGUCCCCAACUUAUUGAGUGCUUUCCACUGUCCUAAAUGUUGCACCUCUGUUAUCCCAUAGAAUCCUUCCAACUUCCUUUUGAGGUAGGUAUCCCCGUUUCACAGAUGAGGAAACCAAGGCAGAGGGAAGUAAAGUAGGAAAUGACUUAAGGUCACGUAAGCCUUAGGUGACAGACUCAGGACUGAACCCAGGCAGUCAGACUCCUAAACCUGCUCUUUGGACCGCGGUGCUGUACUGCCCAACACCCCGGUUCAGUCACACCACUGUCCUGCUCAGAAUUCUUCAAUGGCUCCUGUGAUAAGCAGAAUAAUGGCUCCCUAAACCUGGAACCUGUGAAUAUGUUACCUUACAUUGGUGGAAGGGACUUCGCAAAUGGGAUUAAAGUUAAGGAUCUUGAAAUGCAGACCUUAGCCUGGAUUAUCCAGUGGGUCCAAUCUAAUCACAAAGGUCCUUAGACGAGAGAGGCGAGAACAUUAGAGUCAGAGAAGCAGAUGUGACCAGGAAGCGGUGGUCAGAACGGUGUGAUUGCUGGCUUUAAGAUGGGAGAGGGACAAGCACCAAGGAAUGUGGGCAGCUUCUAGAAAUAGGGAUAGGCAAAGAGCUGACCCUUCCCUAAAGCCUCCAGAAGGAACACAGCCCGCUGCCGCGUUGAUUUUGGCCAAGUGAAGCUUCUGACCUCCAGAGCUGUCAGAUAAUACGUCUGUGUUGUUUCAUGCCACUCAGUUUGGGUGAUUUGUUACAGCAGCAGUAGGAAACUAAUACAGCUUCCAUUGCUUAAAGGGAAAUCUGAACUGCUUUGCAAGGCGUUCAAGGGCCUCAUGUUCUCUUCCCCCUGUCUAACUGCCUGGCUAGCUUAUGCCCCCCACCCCAUGCUUUACAUAUUGAACUUCUUCAGGAUCCUCAACAGCCGUGCCCUUUCUUACGUCAAUGCCUUUGCCUGGAACACCCUAUCCUCCCUUGUUUGUCUGGCAAACCCCUCAUCCUUUAUGUCUCAGCUAAAACAAUACCUCCUCUGUGAGGCUUUUCCUACUUCCCCCAAAGGAACGUAGGGCUCCUUUCCUGCAUUUCGUGCCUCUGCUGCAAUUCAUAUGCACUUCUGUUAAAGGAGAUGUUAAGGACCGGUCACUUCCCUCCCUGGGUUAAAAGCUAUUUGAGGGCACAGGACCUCUCUUCUCACCUUUGGUCUCCCUUAGUACCUAGCACGGUCCCCAGCACAUCAAAUAAAGGUCCCCAGAGAAUAGAGCUCUUAUCCUGACCUGUGCACUGGACCAGUGAUGCAGCCCCUCCAGCCCCGUUUCUCCGUUGAUAACAAGCAUUUAGGGGGGAAAUCAUCCCUUCCCUUCCCUAGUGAGAGAUAAUGACAAAGAAAGUGAGACAUGGGAGUGUUUCAAGUCAAAAAAGAAGAAGUGCUAAUCAAAGUUUUGUAAUAUUCCAGCUGUACCCACGGUAGACAGUGCUUCCUCUCCAAGUCUCAAUUUUUUCAGCUGGGAAAUGGGUCUAGAGACGAGCUGUACGGAGACAGGAGCUAUGGCCACUUCGCGGCCUAUUGUAUCCCCUGCAUCUACACUGCUCUUGAUUCUCAGGUGAAUCCUCUGAUGGUUGGUGAAGAUCUUGAGGGAGGUUUUUCCACAUUCUUCGGAUUCAUGGUUUCUCUCUAAUGUCCACGCCGAUGUUGGGUCUCAUCUUGAGCGAAGGUUUCCACACAUCACAUUCUAUGUAAUUAAAUUCCUGGACACUGAGUCAGAUGUGCCUUCCAAGCCUCCAGACUCACCCGAGGGCUCUCGCACGGACACAUCAGAUACAGGUUUCUUUCCAGUAAGAAUUCUCUGAUGUUGUAUAAGACGGUUGGUGACUCUACCCAAAUGAAGGCUUAUUCACAUUUAUUACACUUAAAUGAAUUUUUUUUCCUGUGUGAAUUAUCUGAUGUUUAAUGAGAAGUAAAAGGCAAAUGAAGGUCUCAAUAAAGGCCUAUUACAUACCCAGCCCUGGGCUGAGGGACUCCAAAAUGUAAGGAAUGGCCUCUGCCCUCUAGACAUCUACAGCCUGGUUGGGGAGACAAGACUCAUGUACAUAAAACAGCUGGGGAACACGAGACACUGUGUCGUCAUACCAAACCCCAGAGUGUAAUAGAAUUCGAUGGGAAUUCAGAGAAAGGAGCAGACCACCAGAGACUGACUAGACGGGAAAGUUGUAUGAAAGAGGUUGGCCGUUAGCUUGACCUGAAAGGAUGGUAGAAUUGAGGCUGGAAGAGAGGAGAAAGGUGUUUCCCUUGAAAAAGAGAAAAGAAAGGAAGGAAGAAAAGAAGGGAGGGAGGGAAUGAGGAAGGAGGGAAAGAAACUCUUUCUAAUGUAGGGAUUUGCCCGUUGAUUCAGGAAACUCCCACAAACGAAGGGCAGCAGCCUUUAAAAAUUUUAUUUCUCUGACGCUUUUCUUGUUUUAGAGCUCAAGCCCCUUUCACUUCUACCAGGCACCCCUCAGAAGGAAUGCUCUACUGCUGCCCUGCACAUGCCAGCCACGCCUCGCCUGCCACCUCCACAGCAUUCUUGGGGCCCAUUCCAGUUUCACAACCAGAGAGCAGCAGGUGAGCAAGAGGGUGGAAUUUGCAGUGUCUCUUCUUGGUUAGAUAGCUGGAGGACUUUUUCUGCCAAUUACAGUGGCUAAACACUGACUCAACAUCUAACAUCUGCAUGAGAGGUUAGAGCCUUCAUUCAUUGACAAGUUUCCAAAUGAAACACAGGGGCACUACCUCUCAUGGGUGACGUAGUCAGAGAAGAGAGGAGAGUGGAUUUCACCCUCAACAAGGUGGCUGCUUUCUGGAGAAGUGACGGGACCUGGUAUUUCCCAGCAUGGUGAAAUCGGGAAGUGCCUUUUGCAGCCCUUCUCAGUUUCAUGGCCCAAAUGGUUUGUUUGGACGUGGAAUUCUUUUUUUUUUUUUUUUUUUUUAAACAUCUUUAUUGGAGUAUAAUUGCUUUCCAAUGGUGUGUUAGUUUCUGCUUUAUAACAAAGUGAAUCAGCUAUAUGUAUACAUAUAUGGACGUGGAAUUCUUAAGCUCUUAAUUCUGUCCCUGCUUCCUGUGUCACUUCCCUAGGAGACUGAAUUCAUGAAGGGCGGGACCUAGGCAACCCCGCCCCCAUGGGGAGAACAGAAUGGGGGCUGAUGCCCUUGGGGUCUUACCAUGUGGACAUCCUGUUGGAACAUUCUUCACUCCUCCCCAGCAAGGCACACUCUGCUCUGUGAAGAUUCCAGGCAGGAAGUAAAGGAGAUCGCUGCGGCCACAGUGGAAAUGCCCAGACUCUCAGGAACCCCGGAUGGUCAUCCAGUCUGACCACACAUACCAUUCUGUUUUCAUUAUUAGUGUCUGUCCUGACUGCUAGUUCAUGGGCUCCCCCAGGACAGGAGGCAUGUGUGCCCUAGACACCAGUAGAGCCAUUUCAGUGUGUAUCACAGUGCCUGGUACAGAGCGGCUGUUAUUAAAUAUUUGUUGAAUAAAUCAACUAUAAAUGUGGAAGUGAUUCCCUUAAAGAGCUCUUCGCUCUUGCUUAGAUGUUGAGUUACAUUACAAGAUGGGUGUGUUGGGGGUGCAUAGGGACACCAUUGGGUAAGAAAUGCAUGGGAGGGCUCUGGAAAAUAACCCCAAAGUUCCAUUUGUAUCUGCUGAGUAACAGGGAACCCCUGCAGGUUCUUCGAGUCACCGACAGGAGAAGGCAAGCAGGCGCGGGUUUUACAGGCUGUAUUUGAUCUGGAAGAGGGUAGGGUUACCCGAAGAACAGUGCGUCUUCUUGGAGCCACCUAAUCACAGUGGCAAGCUCCAGAGAUGACUUUUGUGGCUGAAGGGUGAAUGUUUCAGCCGGGUGAGUGUCAAGAAUGCGGUAAGAGCUCUAGUGAGCCUUGCUGCUGUGUGAACUCAGAGCCGACGGUGGAAACAGAAGAGCCAGUGCAGUAAUAGCCAAAAAUGGCCAAAGAGGAAGACGCCUUGGGACCCAGCCCUGGAUCCUGGCGUUGCACCAUGUGGAGUGGGGGUGAAACCAAAUAGGAAGAUGUGUCUUUCUCCUGAGGGCAGAGGCCAUGUCUUAAGCAUCUACACCCACAGCUCCAAGCAGAGUGAGCGCCUUGCACACAGUAGAUGCUUAAUAAAUGCUCGAUCAAUGAAUGCUGGUUGGCUGGCUCUGGGAGGCACUGAGGAUGUGAGAGCUUGUGCGGGCCCCUGCAGCCCUGUUUACUGUCUUCUCUCCUCCAAGCUCCUCAGCCCACUCUUCUGUGUUGUCCCACCUCUGCUUUAAGCCAGAAGAUGUUCCCAAAGAUUGCGACUCUCUAGGUGGACAGCAGAGCGUAGGAAAGGUGACUCUAGCACCUGCCGACUGGGUCUCAGCCUCAGCUGGUCAGGUCACUCCCUCCCUUCUCCUUGGGGUUCCCACUGCCGAUAGGAUCCCACCAAGCCCCCCACCCAGUCAUCAGGUGUUGUUCACGUUUCCUCCUAGUCUUUCUCUCU